rnacentral:lncRNA from 1 species
CCUCUUAUUUUCAAUUUUAUUCUUGCGUCACCAAUGAUUAUGAUAGGGUUUUUCGUAUUGUUUUAAUGAGAUUGAGAUGUUUGUUAGGAUUAUGAAGAUCUCACAAUAAUAAAGGUGAUGCUAAAGUAACACUGGAAAAAUGAUUGAGUUGAUUACCUUUAUACCAUACGGUCUCAGUUUCAUUUUCUUGUAAUUAUUCUAUUUUCUUUUUUUCUUUUUCAUUUUCUUGUAAUUAUUCUAUUUUCUUUUUUUCUUUUUCAUUUUCUUGUAAUUAUUCUAUUUUCUUUUUUUCUUUUUCAUUUUCUACUUAUAAUUAGUAUUUCAACAUAUUUUUUAUUCUGUAUAACUUAUGUUAAUUGUUUAAUUAUCAGAAUAUAGAAGGUGACAUUUUAUGUUCUUUAGGAUAUAAGUAUAUAUUUAAUUAAUUUUGAUGUUCAAUACAUAUCUUUCUAAACUAUUUAAUGUCAAGGGUUGUUACUCAUUACAUGUUUGAUUGAUUUAUAUAAAUGAGGAUGUACUUAAUAGAAAUAUUUAGCUUACAUUAUUUAAAAGAAAUCUCUGGUUCAUAUUCACUUUAUGAUUGUAUAAACAAAAUACAAAGGGUAAAAAAAUAUGUACGGCUGAAAAAUUGUCAUAUUUUCCUUUUUUUUCUAUCUUUUAUGAGUAAUUUUCUUUCUUAUCUAUCAAAUGUACAAAUCAAGUGAUUUCAGAUAUAGAUUGAUCUUUUGAAGGUUACACAUCUUUAACUUGUUUAUUUUAACAAAUCAAGUGAUUUCAGAUAUAGAUUGAUCUUUUGAAGGUUACACAUCUUUAACUUGUUUAUUUUGUCACUCUAUUCAUCUAGGUUUCCUCUUAUUUUCAAUUUUAUUCUUGUAUCACCAAUGAUUAUGAUAGGGUUUUUCGUAUUGUUUUGAUGAGAUUGAGAUGUUUGUUAGGAUUAUGAGGACCUCACAAUAAUAAAGGUGAUGCUAAUGUAACACUGGAAAAAUGAUUGAGUUGAUUACCUUUAUACCUUACAAUCUCAUUUUCAUUUUCUUGUAAUUAUUCUAUUUUCUUUUUUUCAUUUCCAUUUUCUUUUAACUAUUCUAUUUUCUUUUUUUCUUUUUCAUUUUCUACUUAUAAUUAGUAUUUUAGCAUAUUCUUUAUUCUGUAUAACUUAUGUUAAUUGUUUAAUUAUCAUAAUAUAGAAGAAGACAUUUUAUGUUCUUUAGGAUAUAAGUAUAUAUUUAAUUAAUUUUGAUGUUCAAUACAUAUCUUUCUAAACUAUUUAAUGUCAAGGUUUGUUACUCAUUACAUGUUUGAUUGAUUUAUAUAAUUGAGGAUGUACUUAUUAGAAAUAUUUAGCUUACAUUAUUUAAUUGAAAUCUCCCGUUCAUAAUCACUUUAUGAUUGUAUAAACAAAAUACAAAGGGUAAAAAAAUACGUACUGCUGAAAAAUUGUCAUAUUUUCCUUUUUUUUUCUAUUUUUUAUUAGUAUUUUUCUUUCUUACCUAUCAAAUGUACAGAUCAAGUGAUUUCUGAUAUAGGUUGAUCUUUUGAAGGUUACACAUCUCUAACUUGUUUAUUUUGUCAUUAUAUUCAUAUGUGUUUCCUCUUAUUUUCAAUUUUAUUCUUGCGUCAACAAUGAUUAUGAUAGGGUUUUUUGUAUUGUUUUAAUGAGAUUGAGAUGUUUGUUAGGAUUAUGAGGAUCACUUAAUAAUAAAGGUGAUGCUAAUGUAACACUGGAAGAAUGAUUGAGUUGAUUUCCUUUAUGCCAUACGGUCUCAUUUUUAUUUUCUUGUAACUAUUCUAUUUUCUUUUUUUCUAUUUCAUUUUCUAUUUAUAAUUAGUAUUUUAGCAUAUUUUUUAAUUUGUAUAACUUAUGUUAAUUAUUUAAUUAUCAGAAUAUAGAAGAUGACAUUUUAUGUUCUUUAGGAUAUAAGUAUAUAUUUAAUUAAUUUUGAUGUUCAAUACAUAUCUUUCUAAACUAUUUAAUGUCAAGGUUUAUUACUCAUUACAUCUUUGAUUGAUUUAUACGAUUGAGGAUGUACUUAAUAGAAAUAUUUAGCUUACAUUAUUUAAUAGAAAUCUCUGGUUUAUAAUCACUUUAUGAUUGUAUAAAGAAAAUACAAAGGGUAAAAAAAUACGUACUGCUGAAAAAUUGUCACAUAUUCCUUUUUUUUUUCUAUCUUUUAUGAGUAAUUUUCUUUCUUAUCUAUCAAAUGUACAAAUCAAGUGAUUUCUGAUAUAGGUUGAUCUUUUGAAGGUUACACAUCUCUAACUUGUUUAUUUUGUCACUAUAUUCAUCUGUGUUUCCUCUUAUUUUCAAUUUUAUUCUUGCGUCACCAAUGAUUAUGAUAGGGUUUUUCGUAUUGUUUUAAUGAGAUUGAGAUGUUUGUUAGGAUUAUGAGGAUCUCACAAUAAUAAAGGUGAUGAUAAAGUAACACUGGAAAAAUGAUUGAGUUGAUUACCUUUAUACCAUACGGUCUCAGUUUCAUUUUCUUGUAAUUAUUCUAUUUUCUUUUUUUCUUUUUCAUUUUCUUGUAAUUAUUCUAUUUUUUUCUUUUUCUUUUUUGUUUUCUACUUAUAAUUAGUAUUUCAACAUAUUUUUUAUUCUGUAUAACUUAUGUUAAUUGUUUAAUUAUCAGAAUAUAGAAUGUGACAUUUUAUGUUCUUUAGAAUAUAAGUAUAUAUUUAAUUAAUUUUGAUGUUCAAUACAUAUCUUUCUAAACUAUUUGAUGUCAAGGUUUGUUACUCAUUACAAGUUUGAUUGAUUUUUAUAAUUGAGGAUGUACUUAAUAGAAAUAUUUAGCUUACAUUAUUUAAUCGAAAUCUCCCGUUCAUAAUCACUUUAUGAUUGUAUAAACAAAAUACAAAGAGUAAAAAAAUUCGUACUGAUGAGAAAUUGUCACAUUUUCCUUUUUUUCUAUCUUUUAGGAGUAAUUUUCUGUUUUGUCCUAUCUUUUAUGAGUAAUUUUCUUUCUUAUCUAUCAAAUGUACAAAUCAAGUGAUUUCUGAUAUAGGUUGAUCUUUCGAAGGUUAAACAUCUAUAACUUGUUUAUUUUGGCACUCUAUUCAUCUGUGUUUCCUCUUAUUUUCAAUUUUAUUCUUGCGUCAGCAAUUAUUAUGAUAGUGUUUUUUAUAUUGUUUUGAUGAGAUUGAGAUAUUUGUUAGGAUUAUGAGGAUCGCACAAUAAUAAAGGUGAUGCUAAUGUAACACUGGAAAAAUGAUUGAGUUGGUUUCCCUUAUACCAUACGAUCUCAUUUUCAUUUUCUUGCAAUUAUUCUAUUUUCUUGUUUUCUUUUUCCUUUUCUACUUAUAAUUUGUAUUUUAGCACAUUUUUUAAUCUGUAUAACUUAUGGUAAUUCUUUAAUUAUCAUAAUAUAGAAGAUGACAUUUUAUGUUCUUUAGGAUAUAAGUAUAUAUUUAAUUAAUUUAGAUGUUCAAUAUAUAUCUUUCUAAACUAUUUAAUAUCAAGGUUUGUUACUAACUGCAUGUUUGAUUGAUUUAUACAAUUGAGGAUGUACUUAAUAGAAAUAUUUAGCUUACAUUCUUUAAUAGAAAUCUCUAGUUCAUAAUCACUUUAUGAUUGUAUAAAAAAAUACAAAGGGUAAAAAAAUACGUACUGCUGAAAAAUUGUCACAUUUUCCUUUUUUUCUAUCUUUUAUGAGUAAUUUUCUUUUUUAUCUAUCAAAUAUACAGAUCAAGUGAUUUCAGAUAUAGGUUGAUUUUUUGAAGGUUACACAUCUCUAACUUGUUUAUUUUGGCACUCUAUUCAUCUGUGUUUCCUUUUAUUUUCAAUUUUAUUCUAGCGUCACCAAUGAUUAUGAUAGGGGUUUUCGUAUUGUUUUGAUGAGAUUGAGAUGUUUGUUAGGAUUUUGAGGAUCUCACAAUAAUAAAGGUGAUGCUAAUGUAACACUGGAAAAAUGAUUGAGUUGACUUCCUUUAUACCAUAGGGUCUCAUUUUCAUUUUCUUGUAAUUAUUCUAUUUUCUUUUUUUCUUUUUCAUUUUCUUGUAAUUAUUCUAUUUUCUUUUUUUCUUUUUCAUUUUCUACUUAUAAUUAGUAUUUCAGCAUAUUCUUUAUUCUGUAUAACUUAUGUUAAUUGUUAAAUUAUCAGAAUAUAGACGGUGACAUUUUAUGUUCUUUAGGAUAUAAGUAUAUAUUUAAUUAAUUUUGAUGUUCAAUACAUAUCUUUCUAAACUAUUUAAUGUCAAGGUUUGUUACUCAUUACAUGUUUGAUUGAUUGAUAUAAAUGAGGAUGUACUUAAUAGAAAUAUUUAGCUUACAUAAUUUAAAAGAAAUCUCUGGUUCAUAAUCACUUUAUGAUUGUAUAAACAAAAUACAAAGGGUAAAAAAAUAUGUACUGCUGAAAAUUUUUCAUAUUUUCCUUUUUUUUCUAUCUUUUAUGAGUAAUUUUCUUUCUUAUCUAUCAAAUGUACAAAUCAAGUGAUUUCAGAUAUAGAUUGAUCUUUUGAAGGUUACACAUCUUUAACUUGUUUAUUUUAACAAAUCAAGUGAUUUCAGAUAUAGAUUGAUCUUUUGAAGGUUACACAUCUUUAACUUGUUUAUUUUGUCACUCUAUUCAUCUAGGUUUCCUCUUAUUUUCAAUUUUAUUCUUGUAUCACCAAUGAUAAUGAUAGGGUUUUUCGUAUUGUUUUGAUGAGAUUGAGAUGUUUGUUAGGAUUAUGAGGACCUCACAAUAAUAAAGCUGAUGCUAAUGUAACACUGGAAAAAUAUAUGAGUUGGUUUCCUUUAUACCAUACAGUCUCAUUUUCAUUUUCUUGUAAUUAUUCUAUUUUCUUUUUUUCGUUUUCGUUUUCUUUUAACUAUUCUAUUCUAUUUUCUUUUUUUCUUUUUCAUUUUCUACUUAUAAUUUGUAUUUUAGCAUAUUCUUUAUUUUGUAUAACUUAUGUUAAUUGUUUAAUUAUCAGAAUAUAGAAGAAGACAUUUUAUGUUCUUUAGGAUAUAAGUAUAUAUUUAAUUAAUUUUGAUGUUUAAUACAUAUCUUUCUAAACUAUUUAAUGUCAAGGUUUGUUACUCAUUACAUGUUUGAUUGAUUUAUAUAAUUGAGGAUGUACUUAUUAUAAAUAUUUAGCUUACAUUAUUUAAUUGAAAUCACCCGUUCAUAAUCACUUUAUGAUUGUCUAAACAAAAUACGAAGGGUAAAAAAAUACGUACUACUGAAAAAUUGUCAUAUUUUCCUUUUUUUUUCUAUUUUUUAUUAGUAUUUUUCUUUCUUAUUUAUCAAAUGUACAGAUCAAGUGACUUCUGAUAUAGGUUGAUCUUUUGAAGGUUACACAUCUCUAACUUGUUUAUUUUGUCAUUAUAUUCAUUUGUGUUUCCUCUUAUUUUCAAUUUUAUUCUUGCGUCAACAAUGAUUAUGAUAGGGUUUUUUGUAUUGUUUUAAUGAGAUUGAGAUGUUUGUUAGGAUUAUGAGGAUCACAUAAUAAUAAAGGUGAUUCUAAUGUAACACUGGAAGAAUGAUUAAGUUGAUUUCCUUUAUGCCAUACUGUCUCAGUUUUAUUUUCUGGUAACUAUUCUAUUUUCUUUUUUUCUAUUUAAUUUCCUAUUUAUAAUUAUUAUUUUAGCAUAUUUUUUAAUUUGUAUAACUUAUGUUAAUUAUUUAAUUAUUAGAAUAUAGAAGAUGACAUUUUAUGUUCUUUAGAAUAUAAGUAUAUAUUUAAUUAAUUUUGAUGUUCAAUACAUAUCUUUCUAAACUAUUUAAUGUCAAGGUUUAUUACUCAUUACAUCUUUGAUUGAUUUAUACAAUUGAGGAUGUACUUAAUAGAAAUAUUUAGCUUACAUUAUUUAAUAGAAAUCUCUGGUUCAUAAUCACUUUAUGAUUGUAUAAACAAAAUACAAAGGGUAAAAAAAUACGUCAUGCUGAAAAAUUGUCACAUAUUCCUUUUUAUUCUAUCUUUUAUGAGUAAUUUUUUUUUCUUAUCUAUCAAAUGUACAGAUCAAGUGAUUUCUGAUAUAGGUUGAUCUUUUGAAGGUUACACAUCUCUAACUUGUUUAUUUUGUCACCCUAUUCAUCUGUGUUUCCUCUUAUUUUCAAUUUUAUUCUUGCGUCACCAAUGAUUAUGAUAGGAUUUUUCAUAUUGUUUUAAUGAGAUUGAGAUGUUUGUUAGGAUUAUGAGGAUCUCACAAUAAUAAAGGUGAUGCAAAAGUAACACUGGAAAAAUGAUUGAGGUGAUUACCUUUAUACCAUACGGUCUCAGUUUCAUUUUCUUGUAAUUAUUCUAUUUUCUUUUUUUCUUUU